rnacentral:lncRNA from 1 species
UGUUUAUGCUCACAACAGAUGUUUGGCUAGGCUGUAUAUAUACAUACAUACAUGAAGGCAAUUUUGUUCUUUUUUUUGCUUUCUUUUAUUUUUUCCAUUUUUUUGUUGAUACAUUACAGUCGUAAAUCAUGGCAGUAUUUGUCGUUACAUAUUUCCACAUGCACAAUAUAACACUACAGUUUGGCCAAUAUCAUUCCCCAGUAUUUUCCCUUCACUCCUCCCUCUCCUGGUCCCUUUCCUACACUCUACUGAUCUUUUGAUUUUCACUUUUCUUUUCCUUUUUCCUCUCUUGCUUCCACAUACGAGAGAAAACAUAUGCUCCCUUGACCUUAUGAGUUUAGCUUAUUUUGUGUAACGGAGUGUUCUCAAGUUUCA